rnacentral:rRNA from 1 species
GAUGAACGCUGGCGGCGUGCCUAAUACAUGCAAGUCGAGCGAACAGACGAGGAGCUUGCUCCUCUGACGUUAGCGGCGGACGGGUGAGUAACACGUGGAUAACCUACCUAUAAGACUGGGAUAACUUCGGGAAACCGGAGCUAAUACCGGAUAAUAUAUUGAACCGCAUGGUUCAAUAGUGAAAGACGGUUUUGCUGUCACUUAUAGCUGGAUCCGCGCCGCAUUAGCUAGUUGGUAAGGUAACGGCUUACCAAGGCAACGAUGCGUAGCCGACCUGAGAGGGUGAUCGGCCACACUGGAACUGAGACACGGUCCAGACUCCUAAGGGAGGCAGCAGUAGGGAAUCUUCCGCAAUGGGCGAAAGCCUGACGGAGCAACGCCGCGUGAGUGAUGAAGGUCUUCGGAUCGUAAAACUCUGUUAUUAGGGAAGAACAAAUGUGUAAGUAACUAUGCACGUCUUGACGGUACCUAAUCAGAAAGCCACGGCUAACUACGUG